AACGAACGCUGGCGGCAUGCCUAACACAUGCAGGUCGAACGAGAUCUUCGGGUCUAGUGGCGCACGGGUGCGUAACGCGUGGGAAUCUGCCCUUUGGUUCGGAAUAACAGUUGGAAACGACUGCUAAUACCGGAUGAUGACGAAAGUCCAAAGAUUUAUCGCCAGAGGAUGAGCCCGCGUAGGAUUAGCUAGUUGGUGUGGUAAAGGCGCACCAAGGCGACGAUCCUUAGCUGGUCUGAGAGGAUGAUCAGCCACACUGGGACUGAGACACGGCCCAGACUCCUACGGGAGGCAGCAGUGGGGAAUAUGGGACAAUGGGCGAAAGCCUGAUCCAGCAAUGCCGCGUGAGUGAUGAAGGCCUUAGGGUUGUAAAGCUCUUUUACCCGGGAUGAUAAUGACAGUACCGGGAGAAUAAGCUCCGGCUAACUCCGUGCCAGCCGCCGCGGUAA
rnacentral:rRNA from 1 species